rnacentral:tRNA from 1 species
ACAUUCUUAGCUCAGUUGGAUAGAGCAACAGUUUUCUAAAUUGAUGGUCAUGGGUUCAAGUCCUAUAGGAUGUA